AUUAACUAAAUUUAGAUUAAAAAUAAAAAUAACAUAAAAUUAAUUAAAUAGAUAAAUGGCAUUUUGAUAUAUUCAUUUCACUUUUAAGAUUUUUUACAUUUAUAUUUAAAGUUCAGCUCAACAAUUAAUGAUAUGAAAAUUACAGAUUUUAUUCAUGAACACUAAUAAUUGUAUAUUUUUAAGAGCAAUUGAUAAGUUGCUGACCAAAUCGAUAAAAACAGUAUAUAGGAACAAGCAUUUCCAGAAAGAACUAAAAUUCCUACUUUUCAAAGAUAUCAUUUAUUUAGCAUUUGAAAUCUAUUUGAUUUUUGUAGGCAUGAGAUGCAAAUUGAGUUGUCAUUCAUAUUUCCAUGAUGCUGACAUCAUUCAUAUCACAUAUAUUUAUGGCAUCAUGAUGGUAUAAAUAUUGUGAUUUGUGAUGUUAUCCACUGUUAAAUCAUGAUGCCAUCACAUAGAGAUAGUGAUGUCAUUAAGAUAGGUAUUGUUAAUAGAUGGUGCUGUAUUAAGAAAUCAGGUAAGCCACAUAUUCCUCUACAUUGCUAACUCUUAGCAUCGUUUAUUGGCAAUAAUAUAACUAAACUUGUGAUAAAAAUUAAAAUCUGUCAUACAGGAUUAAAAGAUAUGGCAUUGUGGUAUUCUUUAAUAGCAGAGCAUUUCUAUCAAGUUUCAUGAAAAUCUGCUAAUUAGUUAAAAGUUAUUUGUAGGAGACACACAGACAUGAUCCCAAUCUUAUAAACCUCCAUUUCCUUCAGAAAGUAGGCUAAAAAGAAAUAAUUUUGGCCAAUACAACAAAAUUAUUUGAGAAAAUGAAUAAAAUUAAUAAUGAUUUUUAGAGUUAAUUCUGACUAAAGCAAUUGCUAAAGUUUCAUUGCUAUUUUCCCAAUUACUAAAUGUAAAUUUUAAAAUUUAUAUCACAAUUUUGGUGAAAUUUUUCUGCUUAUUGGAUUAAUAUUUAAUCAAAAUCUCCAUUAAUUAUUUCAAGAUGGUAGCUG
rnacentral:lncRNA from 1 species